rnacentral:rRNA from 1 species
UGGGGAAUCUUAGACAAUGGGGGAAACCCUGAUCUAGCCAUGCCGCGUGAUCGAUGAAGGCCUUAGGGUUGUAAAGAUCUUUCAGAUGGGAAGAUAAUGACGGUACCAUCAGAAGAAGCCCCGGCUAACUCCGUGCCAGCAGCCGCGGUAAUACGGAGGGGGCUAGCGUUAUUCGGAAUUACUGGGCGUAAAGCGCACGUAGGCGGAUUAGAAAGUCAGAGGUGAAAUCCCAGGGCUCAACCUUGGAACUGCCUUUGAAACUCCUAGUCUGGAGGUCGAGAGAGGUGAGUGGAAUUCCGAGUGUAGAGGUGAAAUUCGUAGAUAUUCGGAGGAACACCAGUGGCGAAGGCGGCUCACUGGCUCGAUACUGACGCUGAGGUGCGAAAGCGUGGGGAGCAAACA